AGCGAACGCUGGCGGCAGGCCUAACACAUGCAAGUCGAACGAAGUCUUCGGACUUAGUGGCGGACGGGUGAGCAACACGUGAGAACGUGCCUUUAGGUUCGGAAUAACUCAGGGAAACUUGUGCUAAUACCGAAUGUGCCCUUCGGGGGAAAGAUUUAUCGCCUUUAGAGCGGCCCGCGUCUGAUUAGCUAGUUGGUGAGGUAAAGGCUCACCAAGGCGACGAUCAGUAGCUGGUCUGAGAGGAUGAUCAGCCACAUUGGGACUGAGACACGGCCCAAACUCCUACGGGAGGCAGCAGUAGGGAAUCUUGCGCAAUGGGCGAAAGCCUGACGCAGCCAUGCCGCGUGAAUGAUGAAGGUCUUAGGAUUGUAAAAUUCUUUCACCGGGGACGAUAAUGACGGUACCCGGAGAAGAAGCCCCGGCUAACUUCGUGCCAGCCGCCGCGGUAA
rnacentral:rRNA from 1 species